AGGGACCUGGUAAUUUGAGCUCUUCAAAUGCUAAUGGAGAUCUUGAAAUGAAAGAAGUUCUACUGGAGUUGGACGUGUCUCAAGGAAGAGAGAAGAAAGAUGUUUCUAAGUGCAGGACAAUAUUCCUGUUCUCAUGGAGGUUUCCAGGAGGAUUAAAUGUGUUUCUCUCAGUGAUGGGCCUGGAACUGCAGCUGACGCAUGCGUAUGGUAACCAUGGAGCUGCCUACACCAGUGGUCAACAGAACACCUCAGGUGAGCAACCUGGAAAGCUGAUCUGAAACACAGAGGACUGUCGUGGUGCUCAUGUUGUAUGCAGCCGGAGCCUAAAAGAUGGUGCCGGGCUCCAAUACACCGUCGCCGUAAAUAAUACCACUGCGCAGGCGCUAGCCUGAAUCUGGCGCCAACCCCUCCCAAGCGGGUGCAUGCAAAUUAAGGUGCCGGCAG